GCGGACGUUGUGCAUGGUGCACUGCUGCGACCCAUGAUAUUAUCACGGUGUUCCUAUUCCGCAGCAGUCCGAGGUUCGAGUCCUCGCGUCCGCA